rnacentral:rRNA from 1 species
GUCCUCUUGAAAAUAAUUUGAGGUUUAACCUGCCCACUGAAAAAAUUUUAACGGCCGCAGUAAUUUGACUGUGCAAAGGUAGCAUAAUCAUUAGUUUUUUAAUUAAAAGCUUGUAUGAAGGGUUGGACGAGGUAAAAUCUGUCUCUAUUUAAUUUAUAAUAGAAUUUAAUUUUUAAGUUAAAAAGCUUAAAUUUUUAUAAAAGACGAGAAGACCCUAUAGAUCUUUAUAUUAUUUUUAUUAAUUUUAAUGAAGAAUUAUUUAUUAAUUAAUAAAAAUAUUAUUUUAUUGGGGUAAUAAAAAGAUUAAAUAAAUUCUUUUAUAAUUUAUACAUUGAUUAAUGAAUAAAUGAUCCAAUUAUUUUGAUUAAAAGAUUAAGUUACCUUAGGGAUAACAGCGUAAUUUUUUUAGAGAGUUCUUAUCGAUAAAAAAGUUUGCGA